UCGCUCUCGUUUGUUGAGUUCAGCGGACUCCGAGACCAUGGAGCUAACUACGUUGGUAACAUUAGUUUUCCUCAACCGAAACAAAUGCAACGUUAUAUUGUUUCCUGUUAGCUAGCUACGCUGCUGCUAGCUAAUGUUACAGUCCGACAUGCUUGAGCUUAGCUUGUUUACGGUUAGUCAGAGGUUUUGGACGGUUGGUGGAGAAUGAGCCGUCACCUGAGCUUGAUCAUUAAUGCCCCUAAAAUAAUACGGACCAUGUGGAAGGCCGUGUUUCCUCUUAAAUUAGAAAUCACACCUAUUCUGUUGUGUAUAUCGUCUUUCCAGGGAGACAGCAAUUGCAAUGGGACGCACAGCAACAAAAAAGCGUUGCUGUCAGAUCCUCAGCUGUUUGACACCCAGUUUGAUGAGUUGGUGACGGAGCUUUCAGAGAGGGACUUCGCCGACCCUGCGCUGGCUGAUGCUCUGGCCAGGUUGAGAGAGGUUUUGGUGUACAAUUCCCCUGGAGGCAAGAGGAACCGGGGCCUGUCUGUGAUUGGAACCCUUAGGGAGCUUCUCCCACCUUCGCAGCUCACACAGGACACAGUGCAGCGGGCUCUGUUGGUUGGCUGGUGCAUUGAGUUGCUUCAGGCAUUUUUCCUGGUGGCAGAUGAUAUCAUGGAUGGAUCGGUGACCCGGAGAGGACAGCCCUGCUGGUACAAAAAGGAUGGCAUAGGUCUGGAUGCAAUCAAUGAUUCAUUUCUCUUAGAAGGGUCAAUCUACAGACUGCUUCGCAGACAUUGCAGGGAUCAGCCUUACUACGUUCGCCUGCUGGAGCUAUUUACUGAGGUAACUUUCCAGACCGAGCUUGGCCAAGCUUUGGACCUUAUGACGGCUCCACCUGGUCAGGUUGACCUCAACAGAUUCACCAUUGAGAGAUAUAAAGCUAUUGUGAAAUACAAGACGGCCUUUUACUCUUUUUAUCUCCCAGUGGCAGCUGCAAUGUACAUUGCAGGAAUUGAGAGUGAAGUGGAACACAAUAAUGCCAAAAACAUCUUACUGGAGAUGGGAGAGUUCUUUCAAAUACAGGAUGACUACUUAGACUGUUAUGGAGACCCUGCUGUGACAGGAAAGAUUGGUACAGACAUCCAGGAUAACAAAUGCAGCUGGCUGGUGGUGACGGCCCUGGAAACCAUGACCCCUGAACAGCGAGCAGAGCUGGAGGGAUGUUACGGACGCCACGAUGAUGCCUGUGUAAAAAAGGUCAAAGCACUGUACAACACCCUGCAAAUGCCAGAACUGUACCACAAAUAUGAGGAAGAGAGCUACAAGCGGCUACAGAAACUAAUUGCUUGUCACGCUCAAAACCUUCCUCACUCAGUCUUCCUCAACUUCGCCGACAAAAUCUAUAAGCGGAUCAAGUGAGAGGUAAAGGGGGCUUGUAUCAUGAUGCACAUAUCAACUCCUUUUUUAUUCCUCCACUGCCAACAGCAUGAUCUGAACAGCACAUAGAAAUCAGUUUCUUAACUUGGUUUGUGGAUGUUUGGUUGUGAAUGUCAUCAAACAGCCUGCCUCUUUUGCUCCAUAAUUCCUAUUUAUUGAAACCAGUACAUAAUGUAGAGUGUCUUCAGUUGUUUCUUCCCGGAAGAAUACCAUGGAUAAAAGGACACUGAAAGGAAGCGCACAUUGUCUAUAAAGUAUAAUGUCUGUACUGGCCUGAAUGUUAUUGCUUUUAAUAAAUAUUGGAUAAACA